rnacentral:rRNA from 1 species
UACAGGGGGUGCAAACGUUGCUCGGAAUCAUUGGGCGUAAAGCGCACGUAGGCGGUUUGUUGCGUCGGCUGUGAAAUCCCGAGGCUCAACCUCGGGUCUGCAGUCGAUACGAGCAAACUAGAGUGUUGCAGGGGAGACUGGAAUUCCUGGUGUAGCGGUGAAAUGCGCAGAUAUCAGGAGGAACACCGGUGGCGAAGGCGGGGUCUCUGGGCAAUAACUGACGCUGGAGGAGCGAAAAGCGUUGGGGAGCGAACAGG